UACGAAGGGUGCUAGCGUUGCUCGGAAUCACUGGGCGUAAAGCGCACGUAGGCGGCUCUUUAAGUCAGGGGUGAAAUCCUGGAGCUCAACUCCAGAACUGCCUUUGAUACUGAGGAUCUUGAGUCCGGGAGAGGUGAGUGGAACUCCGAGUGUAGAGGUGAAAUUCGUAGAUAUUCGGAAGAACACCAGUGGCGAAGGCGGCUCACUGGCGCGGUACUGACGCUGAGGUGCGAAAGCGUGGGGAGCAAACAGG
rnacentral:rRNA from 1 species